GGAUGUGAGGGCGAUCUGGCUGCGACAUCUGUCACCCCAUUGAUCGCCAGGGUUGAUUCGGCUGAUCUGGCUGGCUAGGCGGGUGUCCCCUUCCUCCCUCACCGCUCCAUGUGCGUCCCUCCCGAAGCUGCGCGCUCGGUCGAAGAGGACGACCAUCCCCGAUAGAGGAGGACCGUUCUUCGGUCAAGGGUAUACGAGUAGCUGCGCUCCCCUGCUAGAACCUUCAAACAAGCUCUCAAGAAAUACCACUGAUUUGUAUCCAAUUCAGCCACAUUGCUGAAUUUCUGUAUGAUUUCUAGCAAUCU
rnacentral:snRNA from 1 species